rnacentral:rRNA from 1 species
UGGGGGAUAUUGCACAAUGGGCGAAAGCCUGAUGCAGCGACGCCGCGUGGGGGAUGAAGGCCUUCGGGUUGUAAACUUCUUUUGCUCUGAACAAGGCAUGCCUUGGGGGUGUGUUGAGUGUAGGGGUUGAUUAGCGCCGGCUAACUACGUGCCAGCAGCCGCGGUAAUACGCAGGGCGCGAGCGUUGUCCGGAAUUAUUGGGCGUAAAGGGCUUGUAGGUGGCUGGUUGCGUCUGUCGUGAAAGCUCAUGGCUUAACUGUGGGUUUGCGGUGGGUACGGGCUGGCUUGAGUGCAGUAGGGGAGGCUGGAAUUCCUGGUGUAGCGGUGGAAUGCGCAGAUAUCAGGAGGAAUACCGGUGGCGAAGGCGGGUCUCUGGGCUGUUACUGACGCUGAGGAGCGAAAGCGUGGGGAGCGAACAGG